rnacentral:rRNA from 1 species
GGGCUACACACGUGCUACAAUGGCGGUGACAGUGGGAAGCUAGAUGGCGACAUCGUGCCGAUCUCUAAAAACCGUCUCAGUUCGGAUUGCACUCUGCAACUCGAGUGCAUGAAGGUGGAAUCGCUAGUAAUCGCGGAUCAGCAUGCCGCGGUGAA